AACGAACGCUGGCGGCAUGCCUAACACAUGCAAGUCGAACGAGACCUUCGGGUCUAGUGGCGCACGGGUGCGUAACGCGUGGGAACCUGCCCUUAGGUUCGGAAUAACUCCCCGAAAGGGGUGCUAAUACCGGAUAAUGUCUUCGGACCAAAGAUUUAUCGCCUUUGGAUGGGCCCGCGUUGGAUUAGCUAGUUGGUAGGGUAAAAGCCUACCAAGGCGACGAUCCAUAGCUGGUCUGAGAGGAUGGUCAGCCACACUGGGACUGGGACACGGCCCAGACUCCUACGGGAGGCAGCAGUGGGGAAUAUUGGACAAUGGGGGAAAGCAUGAUGCAGCAAUGCCGCGUGAGUGAUGAAGGCCUUAGGGUUGUAAAGCUCUUUUACCCGGGAUGAUAAUGACAGUACCGGGAGAAUAAGCUCCGGCUAACUCCGUG
rnacentral:rRNA from 1 species